rnacentral:rRNA from 1 species
UGGGGAAUUUUGGACAAUGGGCGAAAGCCCGAUCCAGCAAUGCCGCGUGUGUGAAGAAGGCCUUCGGGUUGUAAAGCACUUUUGUCCGGAAAGAAAUCCUUGGCUCUAAUACAGUCGGGGGAUGACGGUACCGGAAGAAUAAGCACCGGCUAACUACGUGCCAGCAGCCGCGGUAAUACGUAGGGUGCAAGCGUUAAUCGGAAUUACUGGGCGUAAAGCGUGCGCAGGCGGUUUGCUAAGACCGAUGUGAAAUCCCCGGGCUCAACCUGGGAACUGCAUUGGUGACUGGCAGGCUAGAGUAUGGCAGAGGGGGGUAGAAUUCCACGUGUAGCAGUGAAAUGCGUAGAGAUGUGGAGGAAUACCGAUGGCGAAGGCAGCCCCCUGGGCCAAUACUGACGCUCAUGCACGAAAGCGUGGGGAGCAAACAGGAUUAGAUACCCUGGUAGUCCACGCCCUAAACGAUGUCAACUAGUUGUUGGGGAUUCAUUUCCUUAGUAACGUAGCUAACGCGUGAAGUUGACCGCCUGGGGAGUACGGUCGCAAGAUUAAAACUCAAAUGAAUUGACGGGGUCAUAGCUGUUUCCU